UAAACCACCGAUGCGUGUGGUCGAAAU
rnacentral:sRNA from 1 species